UUCACCGCACCUGCCUAUCUAUUAAUAUUUUUAUUUUAAAAAUAAGCCCCCGUGUGCAUUCUGCAGAGCACGUUUGUUUUACACGGUUGGGAAAAUAUCUGGUGUCGAUAACGUAGCCGCUAUGAGUCUGGCAAAUUGGAUUAAAGAUCCCACCUGAGCGCCCACUCGAGAAAUAAUGCCAACUUGCAAAAGAAAAGUUAAUAAACAAAAAAUCACGAAA